rnacentral:rRNA from 1 species
AACGCGAAGAACCUUACCCAGGUUUGACAUGCAGUGGACAGUCCCAGAAAUGGGAUCUCUCUUCGGAGCCGCUGCACAGGUGCUGCAUGGCUGUCGUCAGCUCGUGCCGUGAGGUGUUGGGUUAAGUCCCGCAACGAGCGCAACCCUUAUCACUAGUUGCCAACAUUAUGGUGGGAACUCUAGUGAGACUGCCUGGGUUAACCAGGAGGAAGGUGAGGAUGAUGUCAAGUCCGCAUGGCCCUUAUACCUGGGGCCACACACGUGCUACAAUGGCAAGUACAGAAGGCUGCAGAACCGCAAGGCGAAGCAAAUCCCUAAAACUUGCCCCAGUUCAGAUUGAAGUCUGCAACUCGACUUCAUGAAGCCGGAAUUGCUAGUAAUGGCGAGUCAGCACAUCGCCGUGAAUACGUUCCCGGGCCUUGUACACACCGAGACGUA